AUUCAUUUGUAGUCUUGGUAUAAAGAUAGAGCAAUUGCAGACAUCCCAGGAGACUUCAGACCAGAUAUUCCGCAGUUAUGAAGUGAUGUAGUUUUAUAUGUGCAGUAUGUUGUCCACCAUGGAAAUUUUCUAACAGAAAGAAUGACAGGACUCAACUCACUGUGAUAUGAAUAAUUCAGUACAUGAAUCUGAAGAAGCAUCUGCUCUGGAGGAAAGGCAAAUCAGGCUUAUGUUACUUCUUGCUUUUCUCACGAGUAAGACUAUUAGGUAUGUAAAUGUGUGAAUUCAAGAUCUUGUAACUGUUUGAAUACUCACUUCUGUGCCAGAACAAUAAGGAACCAGAUUUUUGGCCUAAAUCUAUGCUGAUCUGUUUUGAUAUUGUUCUAUCUGGAUAGAGUACAGAUAAGUACAUACCUCACACAUUUUGUUUAAAAUAGGAGGAGGUGGGCCAAAUUCUGGCUCCCUCCAAAUGAUCUGGCUGGUGCUGAGGCAUAUAAAUGUGAACACAAGUGGGACACCUCUUUGACAGUGCUGCAGUGUGCAGGAUCCAAUGAGACACGACAACUUGGUGCUUAGAUGGUAAUUGAAAAUGGAUGAAAACAUGAGGAUAGAGGACCCUGAUCAUGAGUCUGACUCCAGGGGAGGAUCCCUUCAAGUACUGGAAGGCUCUAAUCAGGUCACCCCGAAGCCUUCUCUUGUCCCAGCUGCUCCAGCAUUCCUUGUUAGCCAGUGCUCUCAUGCACCCUGACAUGGAGUCAGGAUGCCAGACCUGAAACAUUUUAAAUGAAGGCAUGGCAUUUGCAACACAAGGUUUGGUACCCUGGGUUACAUUUGUGCAUUUACUCUGACUCUGAAGGAAAGGGUAAUCUGUGAUGCUGGGUUGUGAUCUUCAGUCCCAAUCUGCCCCCCUCUCUGUGCUGUCAUCACUCCCUUUGGACAUGAAGCUGAAGGGAUGUAUGUGCCUAUUAACAGGCAGGCAGAAGCCAGGCUGCACUUUGGACAUAUGGGACCCAUUAGCUUUUAAAUCUCCCCCGGAGAUUGUCCAUAUUUAUGAUGUCCACAAAAGAAAAACUGUGUGCUUGGACAUAUUGAGUGAAAUUGAGACUAUCAAAUAUGUUUACACAAUGGUGGAAGACAAGCAAUUGAGAAAAAUGUUUAGAUAAACCUUUAUUGCUCUGACAACUAUCACCAACAUUUUUGUAUAGAAACCUAGUUUUCAUCAAUAUGAUUAAUACUCUUGCUUGUCAUUUUAACCAAGGGGUUAAGCAGAGGGCAUUUAUUUUGUAUGGCAUUUAAACAAGAUUCUGAGCAAUGCUGGAGGAUGGAUGACCAGAAGGUAAAAUAAUGUUGCUCAGUAUAACCCUCAAAGUAACUCAAACUCAAGAGUUCAUAGUCUGAGGCACAGUGGCUCACUGACCUCCAAUAAAUAUCUUGUGGGACUGCAACAUGUGUCUUAUGAUUACAGAGCAACACUAAGAGAGAUCUGUGUCCUAGUUUCAGCUGGGAUGGAGAUAGUUUUCUUCCUAGUAGGUGAUACAGUGCUGGGUUUUGAAUUUAGGAUGAGAACAAACUGAUAACGCACUGAUGUUUUGGUUGCUGCUAAGUAGUGCUUACCUUAAAUCAAGGAAUUUUCAGUCUCCCAUAGUCUUCCAGUGAGCAGAUGUGCAAAGAGCUGGGAUAAAUGAGCCAAACUGACAAAAGGGACAUUCUAUACCAGCAUAUAAACUUGAGGAUUUGGCCAUGAGCUGCUGAUGGCCAAUUGUGGACAGU